UCCCGUGUGGCUCAGUUGGUAGAGCAUGGUGUUUGCAACGCCAGGGUUGUGGGUUCGAUUCCCAAGGGGG
rfam:Salmo salar isolate Sally breed double haploid chromosome ssa01, whole genome shotgun sequence.